CAUUGUUAUAGGGUGAUGGGAAUAGAAAUUAAUGAACACUAAUCAAAUGAAAAAGAGUGUAAUAUUUUGUUUCAGGCUGAACAUGAAGUAAAAGAAAUUUAAAUGAGAUUGGAAGAGGAAGGAGGGAAAAGAAAAACAUCAAUUUUGGACAUAUUUUAGCAUCUAGUUUUUUUUUUUAGUUGAGAAACACCGGAAUGAAACAGCAGGCUUUCUUGAGAAAGGACAAAAUCAUGUAAACAAAGCAUCAAAAACCUCACCAGGAAGCAUUAAACUUCUAAAAACUAGAAAGAAAUUAACUGUAAUUGCCAGCCUACUGGGGAAGUUAUUAUCAGAGCCUCUUAAAUACUGCCUGUACUUUUGCAAGAAAACAUACUUCUUUCCCUUUGGAGAUGAAGUCUGAAGUACUGGCCACCUAUGCUUAUCUAUUGCUGGAGAAAUCCUGUAGUCAAGUAUUAUACAGAGAAAGAAAUUAUAGUAUUGACUGCGUUUAACCCAAUAUAAGAUGAGUGUGUGAUCACCAACAACUCAUGGCAGGAGAAGCAUGGAUCAUGGACAUAGUACUGUGCUAAGCCAGGGGCUCGCUGCCUUGUGACAUGACUUCUUGUGUAAAGGCUGCUGGAUGCAGGCAUGCUUCUGCUGUGGCUUAGGACUGUCUCCACAUCACUGUGAUAGUGAAAUCCAGCAUGCUGGGCAUUCGCACACAUUUUGAGAACUAUUGCUUCAGCUGUGCCAUGUAAACUUGAUGCUUUCAUUUCUAUGCACUGGCUACAGACUCGUUUUUUAAGCUAAUCCAUCUUUCCUUGGGCAUAUUGUAAUGCUUUGUGCAGUGCUGCUAUAAUUAUCCCAAGUGCAGACCAAGAUUUUGGUGUUUCAGUUGCUUAUGUGUACGAUUUUUGACAAACAACUUGAGGCACAUCCUUAAUCUGCUCCCUCCAGAAGGGUUUUGUUUUAUGUUGUCUUUGCAAGAAAGAGCCAAGUACUGAAACACAGCAAGUGAUAAGCUGCACUGGGUCUGUGUCUAAAUAAAAUGAGCUACAUUGGCUCGGACA
rnacentral:lncRNA from 1 species